rnacentral:rRNA from 1 species
CAAAAACAUGUCUAUAUGAUUGUUAUAUAAAGUCUAGCCUGCCCACUGAUUUGUUUUAAAGGGCCGCGGUAUAUUGACCGUGCGAAGGUAGCAUAAUCAUUAGUCUUUUAAUUGGAGGCUUGUAUGAAUGGUUGGACAAAAAGUAAGCUGUCUCGGUUAUAAUAAUUGAACUUAACUUUUAAGUGAAAAGGCUUAAAUGUUUCAGGGGGACGAUAAGACCCUAUAAAGCUUGACAAUAAUUUCGUUAUAUUAUAAAUUGUUAGUAUAACUUGAUUUUAACGGGAGUUUGUUUCGUUGGGGCGACGGGAAUAUAAUAAAUAACUGUUCUUUUAAAUAUAAUUACAAAAAUACUUGGUAAACAAUUGAUCCUCUAUUAGAGAUUAAAAGAUUAAGUUACUUUAGGGAUAACAGCGUAAUCUUCUUUGAGAGUCCACAUCGACAAGAAGGUUUGCGACCUCGAUGUUGAAUUAAGGUAU